rnacentral:rRNA from 1 species
AUUGAACGCUGGCGGCAGGCCUAACACAUGCAAGUCGAGCGGAUGAAGGGAGCUUGCUCCUGGAUUCAGCGGCGGACGGGUGAGUAAUGCCUAGGAAUCUGCCUGGUAGUGGGGGAUAACGUCCGGAAACGGGCGCUAAUACCGCAUACGUCCUGAGGGAGAAAGUGGGGGAUCUUCGGACCUCACGCUAUCAGAUGAGCCCAGGUCGGAUUAGCUAGUUGGUGGGGUAAAGGCCUACCAAGGCGACGAUCCGUAACUGGUCUGAGAGGAUGAUCAGUCACACUGGAACUGAGACACGGUCCAGACUCCUACGGGAGGCAGCAGUGGGGAAUAUUGGACAAUGGGCGAAAGCCUGAUCCAGCCAUGCCGCGUGUGUGAAGAAGGUCUUCGGACUGUAAAGCACUUUAAGUUGGGAGGAAGGGCAGUAAGUUAAUACCUUGCUGUUUUGACGUUACCAACAGAAUAAGCACCGGCUAACUUCGUG